GGGGACAUGGUGUAGGGGUUAUCACGCUUCAUUUGCAAUCGCAGCUUGAAGAGGUCACGAGUUCAAUUCUCGUUGUCUCCA